rnacentral:rRNA from 1 species
UACGAAGGGGGCUAGCGUUGUUCGGAAUUACUGGGCGUAAAGGGCGCGUAGGCGGUGUGUCAAGUCAGGCGUGAAAGCCCCGGGCUCAACCUGGGAACCGCGCUUGAGACUGGCACGCUCGAGUUCGGGAGAGGAUGGUAGAAUUCCCAGUGUAGAGGUGAAAUUCGUAGAUAUUGGGAAGAACACCGAUGGCGAAGGCAGCCAUCUGGACCGACACUGACGCUGAGGCGCGAAAGCGUGGGGAGCAAACAGG